rnacentral:rRNA from 1 species
AGUGAACGCUGGCGGUAGGCCUAACACAUGCAAGUCGAACGGCAGCACAGUAAGAGCUUGCUCUUACGGGUGGCGAGUGGCGGACGGGUGAGGAAUACAUCGGAAUCUACUUUUUCGUGGGGGAUAACGUAGGGAAACUUACGCUAAUACCGCAUACGACCUACGGGUGAAAGCAGGGGAUCUUCGGACCUUGCGCGAUUGAAUGAGCCGAUGUCGGAUUAGCUAGUUGGCGGGGUAAAGGCCCACCAAGGCGACGAUCCGUAGCUGGUCUGAGAGGAUGAUCAGCCACACUGGAACUGAGACACGGUCCAGACUCCUACGGGAGGCAGCAGUGGGGAAUAUUGGACAAUGGGCGCAAGCCUGAUCCAGCCAUACCGCGUGGGUGAAGAAGGCCUUCGGGUUGUAAAGCCCUUUUGUUGGGAAAGAACAGCAGCAGGUUAAUACCCCGCUGUUCUGACGGUACCCAAUGAAUAAGCACCGGCUAACUUCGUG